GAGGGUAUAGCUCAGUGGCAGAGUGUAUGCUUAGCAUGCACAAGGUCCUGGGUUCAAUCCCCAGUACCUUCA
rnacentral:tRNA from 1 species